CUACGGGCUGCUCCAGUGAGGAAUAUUGCACAAUGGGGGGAACCCUGAUGCAGCAACGCCGCGUGGAGGAUGACGCAUUUCGGUGUGUAAACUCCUUUUAUAUGUCAAGAAAAUGACGGUAGCAUAUGAAUAAGCACCGGCUAACUCCGUGCGAGCAGCCGCGGUAAUACGGAGGGGCAAGCGUUACUCGGAAUCACUGGGCGUAAAGGACGCGUAGGCGGGUUGGAAAGUCAGGUGUGAAAUCCUACAGCUUAACUGUAGAACUGCACUUGAAACUUCUAAUCUAGAGUAUGGGAGGGGGAGAUGGAAUUAGUGGUGUAGGGGUAAAAUCCGUAGAUAUCACUAGGAAUACCUAAAGCGAAGGCGAUCUCCUGGAACAUUACUGACGCUAAGGCGUGAAAGCGUAGGGAGCAAACAGGAUUAGAUACCCGAGUAGUC
rnacentral:rRNA from 1 species